UUCAGUUAAAAAUAUGCAUGGAAAAAUAUUUUAUCAAAUAUGUUUAUUGAUGGCAGUUUUAUCAUUUGGUUAUGGGGUAUUUACAAAUGAUGCAGAAGUUGUAUUUCCGAAACAUCACCAUAAAUCUCAGAAUGGGGUUCAUGAAGAAUUUUUGACUUAUGAAAUUUACUCAACAAAUGCUUAU
rnacentral:lncRNA from 1 species